rnacentral:rRNA from 1 species
CUGGUUGAUCCUGCCAGUAGUCAUAUGCUUGYCUCAAAGAUUAAGCCAUGCAUGUCUAARAAUAAACCCUUGAACGGUGAAUCUGCGAAUGGCUCAUUAAAUCAGUUAUUGUUUAUUUGAUGGUACCUUACUACUUGGAUAACCGUAGUAAUUCUAGAGCUAAUACAUGCGCCAAGCCCUGACUUCGGAAAGGGUGCAUUUAUUAGAUUCAAACCAUCGGUCCGUCUGGGCAACUGGGCGUGGCCUUUGAUGGUGAGUCAUAAUAACUUAGCGAAUCGAAUGGCCUUGAGCCGUCGAUGCUUCAUUCAAAUUUCUGCCCUAUCAGCUUUCGAUGGUAGGAUCUUGGCCUACCAUGGCUAUAACGGGUAACGGGGAAUUAGGGUUCGAUUCCGGAGAGGGAGCUUGAGAAACGGCUACCACAUCCAAGGAUGGCAGCAGGCGCGCAAAUUACCCAAUCCCGACACGGGGAGGUAGUGACAAUAAAUAACGAUGCUGGAUUAUUCUUAAUCCGGCAAUUGGAAUGAGAGUGAAUUAAAUCUCCACUCGAGGAACCAUUGGAGGGCAAGUCUGGU